GACGAACGCUGGCGGCGUGCCUAAUACAUGCAAGUUGAGCGCUGAAGGUUGGUACUUGUACCAACUGGAUGAGCAGCGAACGGGUGAGUAACGCGUGGGGAAUCUGCCUUUGAGCGGGGGACAACAUUUGGAAACGAAUGCUAAUACCGCAUAAAAACUUUAAACACAAGUUUUAAGUUUGAAAGAUGCAAUUGCAUCACUCAAAGAUGAUCCCGCGUUGUAUUAGCUAGUUGGUGAGGUAAAGGCUCACCAAGGCGAUGAUACGUAGCCGCCCUGAGAGGGUGAUCGGCCACAUUGGGACGGAGACACGGCCCAAACUCCUACGGGAGGCAGCAGUAGGGAAUCUUCGGCAAUGGACGAAAGUCUGACCGAGCAACGCCGCGUGAGUGAAGAAGGUUUUCGGAUCGUAAAACUCUGUUGGUAGAGAAGAACGUUGGUGAGAGUGGAAAGCUCAUCAAGUGACGGUAACUACCCAGAAAGGGACGGCUAACUACGUG
rnacentral:rRNA from 1 species